GGCUUCGUAGCUCAGCUAGUAGAGCGCUUGCCGCGUAAAGGCAUGGGGUUUCUGCCGCUGAUUCGAAUCCAGCCAAAGCCU